rnacentral:snRNA from 1 species
AACUGGUAUACUUCUCUGAUUAGU